rnacentral:rRNA from 1 species
UACGUAGGGGGCAAGCGUUGUUCGGAGUUACUGGGCGUAAAGGGUGUGUAGGCGGUUCUUUAAGUUUGGUGUGAAAUCUCCCGGCUCAACCGGGAGGGUGCGCCGAAUACUGAGGGACUAGAGUGCGGGAGAGGAAAGUGGAAUUCCAGGUGUAGCGGUGAAAUGCGUAGAUAUCAGGAGGAACACCGGUGGUGUAGACGGCUUUCUGGACCGUAACUGACGCUGAGACACGAAAGCGUGGGUAGCAAACAGG